rnacentral:lncRNA from 1 species
ACUUUUUAUAUUUCAAUAUCUAGUGAGGAAUGUGAAUCCAUAUUUAUAUAUACCUUUUGAUUUACACAGGCUUCCCUGUACAACAACCUUGUGAAGAAAGCAUCACAGAUAUUAAUAAACCCAUUUUGCAGAAGAGAAAAGUAAAAAUCAGAAUAUCUAAGUGACUUACUCCAGGUCACACAACCAGAAAGAAGCAAAGAUCUCUAGAAGAACAGAGGCUACGUAUAGGUGAUAUCACAGCCUGAGCUUUACCAAAGCAUUGAUCUACUACUUUUAACAAGCUUGGGUCCCUGACCACAUCAUCACUCACAGAGACAAUCACUCUGUCUUUGGCUUUCUCAAAUAUUUCUGUGACCUCCAAAGCAUCAGAUCAUCACAUGGUGUGGGUGUGAUGUGGUAUUCAAUGAAUGGACUCAGUCUUACUUGAAAUCUAAGGCAGCAGUGCAUGCCAGGCUAUUUCCUAGACUUUUGAUUUUGAACUUUGGGAAAAGACAAGAUUUCUCAAGUGACCAAUAUGUAUACUUUUAAGAGACUUGGUCCUUCAUUGACCCAAUCACAGAAGAGUCAGGAGAUAAUGCAUUAAAUGGAUAUAUGGUCCCUUUAUAAGGAUUUAAAUUGGUUUCAUGAGUGAAUA